GUCUGAGGUUGGAAGGAAUGGAAAAGGGUAAGACCCCAGGAAUGGAGAAAUCACAAAGAGAUAAAAUUACUUAUGCGAAAGAGAAAGGAGGUAAAGGUUUGACAGAUAUUGCAAUGUUCUUGGAGAAAACGAUUUGGGGACUAUGACUCUGAAGGCACCUGGAAGACUUUGAAAUUGAAGAAAUGGAUUUUAUUAUUAUUUUGUUCACUGUUUUAUUUUUAUUGAAGUUUAAGGGUUUCAUUAUAAUGCUUAAGGUAGGGAAAGGGGUAUGGUUCAGGGAUUGUUAGGUUUUAUUGUAAGGGUUUAGUGGGAUGGUGAAGGUUAGUUUUGAGAUUAAGGUUUGAGGAGCAUUUUUGAGGGUUAAAGGGACACUGUACCCAAAUUUCUUUUGUAAUUCAGAAAGAGCAUGCAAUUUUAAGCAACUUUCUAAUUUACUCCUAGUAUCAAUUUUUCUUCGUUCUCUUGCUAUCAUUAUUGAAAACAAGGCAUCUAAGUUUUUUUUUUGUUUCAGUACUCUGGACAGCACUUUUUUAUUGGUGGAUGAAUUUAUCCACCAAUCAGCAAGGACAACCCAGGUUGUUCACCAAAAAUGGGCCGGCAUUUAAACUUACAUUCUUGCAUUUCAAAUAAAGAUACCAAGAGAAUGAAGCAAAUUUGAUAAUAGGAGUAAAUUAGAAAGUUGCUUAAAAUUUCAUGCUCAAUCUGAAUCACGAAAGAAAAAUUUUCGGUACAGUGUCCCUUUAAUGUAGGGUGACUUUAGGAGUUUGGUAUUUUCUUUUUAUAUUUUGUUUUAUCUAUUUUUUUUUAAAUAUAUAUUCUUAUUAUUUUUGUUUUUGAUUUAUGUGAGUUUGUGGUUUUCAUUUUCUGUAUAUGUAUAUAUUGUUAUUUUUCAAAUAAAAGUAUAAAUGAAAAUGUC